ACGGAGGGUGCGAGCGUUAUUCGGAAUUACUGGGCGUAAAGCGCGUGUAGGCGGGGUCGCAAGUCGGAUGUGAAAGCCCUCGGCUCAACCGGGGAACUGCAUUGGAUACUGCGAUGCUUGAGUGCUGGAGAGGGUGGCGGAAUUCCAGGUGUAGAGGUGAAAUUCGUAGAUAUCUGGAGGAAUACCAGUGGCGAAGGCGGCCACCUGGCCGGUAACUGACGCUGAGGUGCGAAAGCGUGGGGAUCAAACAG
rnacentral:rRNA from 1 species